rnacentral:rRNA from 1 species
AGGUUAACCGAAUAGGGGAGCCGGAGGGAAACCGAGUCUUAACCGGGCGUUAAGUUGCAGGGUAUAGACCCGAAACCCGGUGAUCUAGCCAUGGGCAGGUUGAAGGUUGGGUAACACUAACUGGAGGACCGAACCGACUAAUGUUGAAAAAUUAGCGGAUGACCUGUGGCUGGGGGUGAAAGGCCAAUCAAACCGGGAGAUAGCUGGUUCUCCCCGAAAGCUAUUUAGGUAGCGCCUCGUGAAUUCAUCUCCGGGGGUAGAGCACUGUUUCGGCUAGGGGGCCAUCCCGGCUUACCAACCCGAUGCAAACUGCGAAUACCGGAGAAUGUUAUCACGGGAGACACACGGCGGGUGCUAACGUCCGUCGUGAAGAGGGAAACAACCCAGACCGCCAGCUAAGGUCCCAAAGUCAUGGUUAAGUGGGAAACGAUGUGGGAAGGCCCAGACAGCCAGGAUGUUGGCUUAGAAGCAGCCAUCAUUUAAAGAAAGCGUAAUAGCUCACUGGUCGAGUCGGCCUGCGCGGAAGAUGUAACGGGGCUAAACCAUGCACCGAAGCUGCGGCAGCGACACUGUGUGUUGUUGGGUAGGGGAGCGUUCUGUAAGCCUGUGAAGGUGUGUCGUGAGGCAUGCUGGAGGUAUCAGAAGUGCGAAUGCUGACAUAAGUAACGAUAAAGCGGGUGAAAAGCCCGCUCGCCGGAAGACCAAGGGUUCCUGUCCAACGUUAAUCGGGGCAGGGUGAGUCGACCCCUAAGGCGAGGCCGAAAGGCGUAGUCGAUGGGAAACGGGUUAAUAUUCCCGUACUUGGUGUUACUGCGAAGGGGGGACGGAGAAGGCUAUGUUGGCCGGGCGACGGUUGUCCCGGUUUAAGCGUGUAGGUGUGUGUUCCAGGUAAAUCCGGUUCACUUUAACACUGAGGCGUGACGACGAGGCACUACGGUGCUGAAGCAACAAAUGCCCUGCUUCCAGGAAAAGCCUCUAAGCAUCAGGUAACAUCAAAUCGUACCCCAAACCGACACAGGUGGUCAGGUAGAGAAUACCAAGGCGCUUGAGAGAACUCGGGUGAAGGAACUAGGCAAAAUGGUGCCGUAACUUCGGGAGAAGGCACGCUGACACGUAGGUGAAGUGAUUUACUCAUGGAGCUGAAGUCAGUCGAAGAUACCAGCUGGCUGCAACUGUUUAUUAAAAACACAGCACUGUGCAAACACGAAAGUGGACGUAUACGGUGUGACGCCUGCCCGGUGCCGGAAGGUUAAUUGAUGGGGUCAGCGCAAGCGAAGCUCCUGAUCGAAGCCCCGGUAAACGGCGGCCGUAACUAUAACGGUCCUAAGGUAGCGAAAUUCCUUGUCGGGUAAGUUCCGACCUGCACGAAUGGCGUAAUGAUGGCCAGGCUGUCUCCACCCGAGACUCAGUGAAAUUGAACUCGCUGUGAAGAUGCAGUGUACCCGCGGCAAGACGGAAAGACCCCGUGAACCUUUACUAUAGCUUGACACUGAACAUUGAGCCUUGAUGUGUAGGAUAGGUGGGAGGCUUUGAAGUGUGGACGCCAGUCUGCAUGGAGCCGACCUUGAAAUACCACCCUUUAAUGUUUGAUGUUCUAACGUGGACCCGUUACCCGGGUUGCGGACAGUGUCUGGUGGGUAGUUUGACUGGGGCGGUCUCCUCCUAAAGAGUAACGGAGGAGCACGAAGGUUGGCUAAUCCUGGUCGGACAUCAGGAGGUUAGUGCAAUGGCAUAAGCCAGCUUGACUGCGAGCGUGACGGCGCGAGCAGGUGCGAAAGCAGGUCAUAGUGAUCCGGUGGUUCUGAAUGGAAGGGCCAUCGCUCAACGGAUAAAAGGUACUCCGGGGAUAACAGGCUGAUACCGCCCAAGAGUUCAUAUCGACGGCGGUGUUUGGCACCUCGAUGUCGGCUCAUCACAUCCUGGGGCUGAAGUAGGUCCCAAGGGUAUGGCUGUUCGCCAUUUAAAGUGGUACGCGAGCUGGGUUUAGAACGUCGUGAGACAGUUCGGUCCCUAUCUGCCGUGGGCGCUGGAGAACUGAGGGGGGCUGCUCCUAGUACGAGAGGACCGGAGUGGACGCAUCACUGGUGUUCGGGUUGUCAUGCCAAUGGCACUGCCCGGUAGCUAAAUGCGGAAGAGAUAAGUGCUGAAAGCAUCUAAGCACGAAACUUGCCCCGA